rnacentral:rRNA from 1 species
UUUUAAUUAUAAUGGUAGUACUUAAAUAAAAAACCAAUAUAUAAUGGCGGUCUUAAUAAAUUAGAGAAACUCGCUUUAUAAUCGACAACACCCGUUAAUUCUAACUCAUUUUAAGUAAGCCUAUAUACCGCCGUUUAGAGUUUUUACAAAAGACAACAUCAAAAUUUAAAUAAUACAUAAAAUCAGGUCAAGGUGUAGCCAAUAAAAGAGACAAAGUAAGUUACAUUAAAAACAAUUUAAGGAUAAAAAACCAAACGUUAAUUGGAAAAAGAAUUUAUUUGUACAUUAAAAUUAAAAAAAUUAAUAGAAAUAAAAAAUUAAGAUGU